rnacentral:rRNA from 1 species
AGCGAACGCUGGCGGCAGGCCUAACACAUGCAAGUCGAACGAACCUUUCGGGGUUAGUGGCGGACGGGUGCGUAACACGUGGGAACGUGCCUUUAGGUUCGGAAUAACUCAGGGAAACGUGUGCUAAUACCGAAUGUGCCCUUCGGGGGAAAGAUUUAUCGCCUUUAGAGCGGCCCGCGUCUGAUUAGCUAGUUGGUUGAGGUAAUGGCUCACCAAGGCGACGAUCAGUAGCUGGUCUGAGAGGAUGAUCAGCCACAUUGGGACUGAGACACGGCCCAAACUCCUACGGGAGGCAGCAGUGGGGAAUCUUGCGCAAUGGGCGAAAGCCUGACGCAGCCAUGCCGCGUGAAUGAUGAAGGUCUUAGGAUUGUAAAAUUCUUUCACCGGGGACGAUAAUGACGGUACCCGGAGAAUAAGCCCCAGCUAACUUCGUG